rnacentral:rRNA from 1 species
AGUGAACGCUGGCGGUAGGCCUAACACAUGCAAGUCGAACGGCAGCACAGUAAGAGCUUGCUCUUACGGGUGGCGAGUGGCGGACGGGUGAGGAAUACAUCGGAAUCUACUUUUUCGUGGGGGAUAACGUAGGGAAACUUACGCUAAUACCGCAUACGACCUACGGGUGAAAGCAGGGGAUCUUCGGACCUUGCGCGAUUGAAUGAGCCGAUGUCGGAUUAGCUAGUUGGCGGGGUAAAGGCCCACCAAGGCGACGAUCCGUAGCUGGUCUGAGGGGAUGAUCAGCCACACUGGAACUGAGACACGGCCCAGACUCCUACGGGAGGCAGCAGUGGGGAAUAUUGGACAAUGGGCGCAAGCCUGAUCCAGCCAUACCGCGUGGGUGAAGAAGGCCUUCGGGUUGUAAAGCCCUUUUGUUGGGAAAGAAAAGCAGCAGGUUAAUACCCCGCUGUUCUGACGGUACCCAAAGAAUAAGCACCGGCUAACUUCGUG